CUUAUUUAUCCAAUGCAAUUUUGCUUCAUGACAUUUUUAUAUGUCGCAACAUUCGUAGUCCAAAUGAGCAUACCACAAACAUGUGUUUUAAAAUAAAUAAUUUUAUUGUUGGUUUUAAUUACUUUGUGUGUGUGACAGGUGUAACAAUAUUCAGGGGCCCAUUUCUUCACAAAGGUGCGGGGAGGAACAAAUCUGAAAAUGAAGGUAAAAGUUAGGAUCUCUCAUGAUUUCCGUAUUUUGUGAUGUUAUCAAAUGUUAAUGGGCAGAAAUACAGUGGUGGCCAGGGAAAUAAAUGCGAAAUUUGUUUGUGGUGACCACAGAAAUUUGUUAAACAAUAUAUACAUAACUUAAAAAAAAUGCAAAUAAAAACUGUAGUACUAUCAAUAUUUUACAUAUUUAACACAACACCAGUAAUUACAAAUAAAAUACAUUUUUUUAUAAAAUUA